rnacentral:rRNA from 1 species
GCAAGUCGAGGGGCAGCGGAACACUUCGGUGUUGCCGGCGACCGGCGAACGGGUGCGUAACACGUAUGCAAUCUACCUUGUACUGGGGAAUAGCUUCCGGAAACGGGAAUUAAUACCCCAUAUGCUCUUAGUGGCUCAUGCCACAGAGAGGAAAGCUCCGGCGGUACAAGAUGAGCAUGCGUCCCAUUAGCUAGUUGGUAAGGUAACGGCUUACCAAGACUACGAUGUCUAGGGGUUCUGAGAGGAUGAUC